rfam:Capsicum annuum cultivar Zunla-1 chromosome 3, whole genome shotgun sequence
AUCUCAUGGUUAGGGCACUUCAAGAGUUUCUCCUUGAAUCUUUCCCAAGCUUCAUACCAUGUCUCUUUAUAGAAUUAGCAAAAAUUAAUGAUUUCAUCAUGAAAUU